rnacentral:rRNA from 1 species
GACGAACGCUGGCGGCGUGCUUAACACAUGCAAGUCGAACGGAAAGGCCCUGCUUUUGUGGGGUGCUCGAGUGGCGAACGGGUGAGUAACACGUGAGUAACCUGCCCUUGACUUUGGGAUAACUUCAGGAAACUGGGGCUAAUACCGGAUAGGAGCUCCUGCUGCAUGGUGGGGGUUGGAAAGUUUCGGCGGUUGGGGAUGGACUCGCGGCUUAUCAGCUUGUUGGUGGGGUAGUGGCUUACCAAGGCUUUGACGGGUAGCCGGCCUGAGAGGGUGACCGGCCACAUUGGGACUGAGGUACGGCCCAGACUCCUACGGGAGGCAGCAGUGGGGAAUAUUGCACAAUGGGCGGAAGCCUGAUGCAGCAACGCCGCGUGCGGGAUGACGGCCUUCGGGUUGUAAACCGCUUUCGCCUGUGACGAAGCGUGAGUGACGGUAAUGGGUAAAGAAGCACCGGCUAACUACGUG